UACGUAGGGGGCAAGCGUUGUCCGGAAUCAUUGGGCGUAAAGAGCGCGUAGGCGGUCCGGUAAGUCCGCUGUGAAAGUCAAGGGCUCAACCCUUGAAUGCCGGUGGAUACUGUCGGGCUAGAGUCCGGAAGAGGCGAGUGGAAUUCCGUGGUGUAGCGGUGAAAUGCGCAGAUAUCAGGAGGAACACCAAUGGCGAAGGCAGCUCGCUGGGACGGUACUGACGCUGGAGGCGCGAAAGCGUGGGGAGCAAACAGG
rnacentral:rRNA from 1 species